AAUCCUAUUUUGGCAGACCAAUGCAAAAGACUUAGAAUCUUUAUAUAACCUU
rnacentral:tRNA from 1 species